rnacentral:rRNA from 1 species
ACAAAUGUCCACGAUUAUACACACAUAUUAAGCUCACCCUUGCGGUAUUGCUGCCCACUGUCACCGCCAUUGUAUCUUUUGUGUAGUC